rnacentral:rRNA from 1 species
GACGAACGCUGGCGGCGUGCUUAACACAUGCAAGUCGAGCGGAAAGGCCACUUCGGUGGUACUCGAGCGGCGAACGGGUGAGUAACACGUGAGUAAUCUGCCCUUGGCUUUGGGAUAGCCACCGGAAACGGUGAUUAAUACCGGAUACGACCACUCCUGGCAUCAGGUGGUGGUGGAAAGUUUUUCGGCCAGGGAUGUGCUCGCGGCCUAUCAGCUUGAUGGUGAGGUAAUGGCUCACCAUGGCUUCAACGGGUAGCCGGCCUGAGAGGGUGACCGGUCACACUGGGACUGAGACACGGCCCAGACUCCUACGGGAGGCAGCAGUGGGGAAUAUUGGACAAUGGGCGGAAGCCUGAUCCAGCAACGCCGCGUGAGGGAUGACGGCCUUCGGGUUGUAAACCUCUUUCAGCAGGGACGAAGCGCAAGUGACGGUACCUGCAGAAGAAGCACCGGCCAACUACGUGCCAGCAGCCGCGGUAAGAC